GGGGGCUUACCAUUUUAUGAGGCGUCCGUGCCUAGUGCGAAGCUUUGUGCGGUGUGGGUUGGUAUCAUCUGUGCAAUUCAAGAGCUACUGGUGCAGAGGAUCAUCAUUGAGGGGGAUUCUCUAAUGGUUAUCAGUUGGAUCCAGGAGGGACCCAUGCACCGCAAGGCCCACCCUCUCCUCGACGAUAUCUGGAGGGCCACUCGCGGGUGCACUGCAGUGUCUUACUACCAU
rnacentral:lncRNA from 1 species